GAUGAUGAUGAGGAUGAAAAACAGACCCUGACAACACUGAGUACUGACAAGAGUGAAGAUGAUGAUAGCGAAGAUGAAAAGACCAUUACAGCAUCCGUUACUAACAAGACUGUAGCAGCAAACGA